rnacentral:misc_RNA from 1 species
GGACUGGUUUAUGGGCAGCCUGCAAAGGUCUCAUUGCUUUUAGCGCAGCCUGGGAAAUGCAGAAAAUCAUAAAAUUCUAGCACCAGAUAUUUUUAGCUGACUGAUGCUGACAAACAAGCAGAGCAGCAAUGGCUGCUUCACUCUCUCUCCACUGCCACAAUAGACCACCCUUAUCCUUAGACAAUACCUUGCUUAGAAAUCCCACCAUCACUAUUCCAAUGACCGCCCAGAACAGCACCAACUGUCCAAAUCAACCGCACCCAUGUCUUGUUUCACUGGAAAAAUGCUCCAGCAUGUCCGAGCUCAAGCAAAUCCAUGCCCAAAUGCUCAGGACCGGCCUCUUCUUCGAACCCUUUGAAGCCGGCAAACUUGUGGGCUUUUGCGCUCUCCAAGACUCUGGAAGCCUCCAUUAUGCUCGUCUCGUCUUCUCUCAAAUCCACAAUCCCACACCUUAUACUUACAAUUCUAUAAUCCGAGGAUACACAAACAAGAACUUACAUAGAGACACACUUUUUUUCUAUCAAGAGAUGAUAGUUGAAGGACAGAUACCGGAUAGAUUUACAUAUCCUUCGUUGUUCAAGUCAUGUGGAAAUUUAUCCGAGGGGAAACAGCUUCAUUGUCACUCCACAAAAUUCGGUUUCGCAUCAGAUUCCUAUAUCCAGAACACUUUGAUGAAUAUGUAUUCGAAUUGCGGUUGUUUGGUGUCAGCUAAAAAGGUAUUUGAUAAAAUGGUGGAAAAGAAUGUGGUUUCAUGGGCAACAAUGAUUGGUGCUUAUGCGCAAUGGGAACAACCCCACGAAGCAUUGAAGCUUUUUGAGAGAAUGGAGAGUGAAAAUGCGAGUCCAAAUGAGGUUACGUUGGUCAAUCUCCUGACUGCUUGUGCAAGGGCAAAAGAUUUGGCAUUGUUGAAGACGAUUCAUGAGUACAUUGAUGAAAAUGGUUUUGGAUCCCAUGAGGUCCUCAAAACGGCUCUUAUGGAUGCUUAUUGCAAAUGUGGUUGUGUAUCACUGGCAAGAGAUCUAUUUGACAAGAUGCAGGAAAAGAACUUGUUUUGUUGGAAUAUCAUGAUUAAUGGGUGCGUAGAGGAUAGUGAUUAUGAAGAGGCUUUGCUACUCUUUCGUCAAAUGCAAGUUCAGGGUGUCCAAGCGGAUGAGGUCACCAUGGUGAGUUUAUUGCUUGCUUGCAUCCAUUUGGGUGCUCUUGACCUUGGUAAGUGGUUACAUGCCUAUAUCAAGAAGCGAAAAAUCAACGUGGAUGUUGCCCUAGGAACAGCAAUGGUAGACAUGUAUGCGAAGUGUGGAAGCAUAGAAAGAGCAUUACGCGUGUUUCAGGAGCUGCCUAAGAAAGAUGUUAUGACUUGGACAGCCUUGAUUGUUGGUCUUGCUAUGUCUGGGCAAGGGGAGAUGGCUCUGGAGUAUUUCCAUGAGAUGCAGGGUAACGGAAUUAAGCCUGAUGCAAUCACAUUUGUGGGGGUUCUGGCUGCGUGUAGUCAUGCUGGACUUGUGGAUGAAGGGAUCGCACACUUCAAAUCAAUGUCUGAUACCUAUGGCAUUCAGCCUACGAUUGAGCACUAUGGUGGUUUGGUCGAUAUAUUAGGCCGAGCUGGUCGGAUAGCUGAAGCAGAGGAGUUGAUAAAGAAAAUGCCAAUGGCACCAGAUCAUUACGUUUUAGGGGGUCUUCUUGGUGCCUGCAGAAUCCAUAGAAACCUUGAAGCUGCAGAGAGAGCAGCCAAACGGCUUUUGGAGCAGGACCCGGAAAAUUGUGGAGCAUAUGUACUCUUAUCUAACAUUUAUAAAUCAUCAAGGAGGUGGGAAGAAGCUAAAAGAGUCAGGGAACUGAUGGUGAAAAGAGGCAUGAGAAAACCCCCAGGAUGCAGCCUGAUUGAGGUUGAUGGAGUUGUUCAUGAAUUUGUAAAGGGUGAUUCAUCCCACUCUCAAUCCUUAGAGAUCCAUAAAAUGCUGGAGGACAUGAUUAGCCGCUUAAAGAAAGCUGGUUAUGUUCCUAAUAAAGCAGAAGUGUUAUUUGACAUGGAUGAAGAGGAAAAGGAGACUGCACUUAGCCUUCACAGUGAGAAACUGGCAAUUGCAUUUGGCCUCUUAAAUACAAGUCCUGGGAUGCCACUCCGAGUUGUGAAAAACCUUCGUGUGUGCAGUGAUUGCCACACAGCCACAAAGCUCAUAUCAAAACUCUACAAUCGAGAGAUAAUUGUGAGGGACAGGAAUCGGUUUCACCAUUUUAAAAAUGGAUUUUGUUCAUGCAAGGAUUUCUGGUGACAUAAGAAACAAUACAUUGUUCUGAUAUAGUUCAAAAUUAACAAAUUUUUUC